GGAUCCUGCCUGAGAAGGAUGUUAUGAGCACUGUGCUGCUACAUAACCCAGAAAACCAAAAGAAAGUGAAGGUUAACACACCCGAGAUCACAGAAGUCAUCGUAUAUCAGGUCCAUGGACUUCAAAUUCCAGCAGUGAAAGCAGCAUAGAGAGCGAAGCCGCAGCUUCCACCCUCUCGGCCCUGCCAUCGGAGCAUGGUGGAGGUCUUCUCCGGAAAUGUGAAUGAGAAUGAAGAAACAAAACAACUCUUCAUAAACAUCAAUGAAUUAUCAAGUCAUUCAUCAAUGGGAAAAGGAGGUGAUGAAAAUUGUCCUGCUGCCUGUAUAGAUGAAAGCAACAUCUAACCUGCACAGCAGUUCAAAAUGUACAACACAUUGGGACCCAACCCGAAAAUUGAUAACGAG